rnacentral:rRNA from 1 species
CGUUGUUCGGAUUUACUGGGCGUAAAGGGCGCGUAGGCGGCGCAACAAGUCACUUGUGAAAUCUCCGGGCUUAACCCGGAGCGGCCAAGUGAUACUGUCGUGCUAGAGUGCGGAAGGGGCUACUGGAAUUCUCGGUGUAGCGGUGAAAUGCGUAGAUAUCGAGAGGAACACCUGCGGCGAAGGCGGGUUGCUGGGCCGACACUGACGCUGAGGCGCGAAAGCCAGGGGAGCGAACGGG